UACAGAGGCCUCGAGCGUUAGGCGGAAUCACUGGGCUUAAAGCGUGUGUAGGCGGACUUCUAAGUACCUUGUGAAAUCCCACGGCUUACCCGUGGAACUGCUCGGUAUACUGGUUGUCUUGAGCCACCUAGGGGCGAGUGGAACAAAUGGUGGAGCGGUGAAAUGCGUAGAGAUCGGAAAGAACACCAACGGCGAAAGCACUCUGCUGGGCCGACACUGACACUGAGAGACGAAAGCUAGGGGAGCGAAUGGG
rnacentral:rRNA from 1 species